UACGUAGGGUGCAAGCGUUAAUCGGAAUUACUGGGCGUAAAGCGUGCGCAGGCGGUUUUGUAAGCCAGAUGUGAAAUCCCCGGGCUUAACCUGGGAAUGGCAUUUGGGACUGCAAGGCUUGAGUGCGGCAGAGGAGACUGGAAUUCCUGGUGUAGCAGUGAAAUGCGUAGAUAUCAGGAGGAACACCGAUGGCGAAGGCAGGUC
rnacentral:rRNA from 1 species